AACGAACGCUGGCGGCAGGCCUAACACAUGCAAGUCGAGCGCACCCUUCGGGGUGAGCGGCGGACGGGUUAGUAACGCGUGGGAACGUGCCCAGAUCUGCGGAAUAGCCACUGGAAACGGUGAGUAAUACCGCAUACGCCCUUCGGGGGAAAGAAUUUCGGGGAAGGAUCGGCCCGCGUUGGAUUAGGUAGUUGGUGGGGUAAUGGCCUACCAAGCCGACGAUCCAUAGCUGGUUUGAGAGGAUGAUCAGCCACACUGGGACUGAGACACGGCCCAGACUCCUACGGGAGGCAGCAGUGGGGAAUCUUAGACAAUGGGGCAACCCUGAUCUAGCCAUGCCGCGUGAGUGACGAAGGCCCUAGGGUCGUAAAGCUCUUUCGCCAGGGAUGAUAAUGACAGUACCUGGUAAAGAAACCCCGGCUAACUCCGUGCCAGCGCCGCGGU
rnacentral:rRNA from 1 species